rnacentral:Y_RNA from 1 species
GGCCGGUCCAAAGGUAGUGAGUUGUCUCAACUGACUGUUCAGAGUCAGUUACAGAUUGAACUCCUUGUUCUACUCUUCCCCCCCUCCCACUACUGCACUUGACUAAAA